rnacentral:tRNA from 1 species
GCGGGUAUGGUUCAGUGGUAGAACGCGACCUUCCCAAGGUUGAGAUACGGGUCCGAUUCCCGUUACCCGCU